rnacentral:rRNA from 1 species
CGGUGGCCAUGGCGGUGGGGUCACACCCGUUCCCAUCCCGAACACGGCAGUUAAGCCCGCCAGCGCCAAUGGUACUUGGAGGUAGACCUCCUGGGAGAGUAGGACGCCGCC